rnacentral:ncRNA from 2 species
UCUAAUUACAUAAUUACAGGUUAUUCUCCACAGGUAUGUGGAUGAGUAAAAGGGAAUCCAUGUCCUGUUUCAUGAAAUGGGAUGAGGAGCGGACCCGCCGCUGUAGCCGGGAACGAAAAUCACAGUGCCACUGUCCUGGAUAAAACAGGAUGGGAAGGAGUGAUAAGUAGGAUGAUCCGGGAGCCAGAAGACCUGCCUGUAAUUGCUUCACGUA